UUGUGACGGUUUGCGGGUACCGAGCUGCUCGUGCGUCAAUAGCUGCUUCACCUUGUUACCGCGGGACGCCGACAACCUUUUUAUCAGCUCCUCUUUAAGCCGCUGGUAAUCGGGAGGACCGGUGAGCACGUCUUCUACCUCGGCGGCAUAUUGGCGAUCGAGGCUGGCCAAUAUAUGAUAAAAUUUUGCCGUCUCGUCAGUCACUCGCAUGAUGGCAAAUUGUCCUUCCACUUGCGCAAACCAUAUUGCGGGUUUUUCAGGCCAGAACGGUGGUAUCCUGAUGUGUGUUGAGGGUAGUUCUGUAAUCGGGCACGCUGGCUCGACAGGCGACGCCAUCUUGACGUGUCGCCGUGGUCGUGUAGUUACCUGCGAGCGCGCCGUGUCCGAUCCGCUGGAUUCCGACAUCUGUUUCUCCGGGGUGCUCGUAGUCGUGGGUCACCAGUUUAGUAGGGGUUACCAGUUUGGUUGUCGUUGAUGGUGGUGGUAAGGUCACCAGUGCCGGGCGGCACAAUAACGAGUCCGUAAUUGGAUGGACAGUUUAUUUCCAAUCACAGAUAGUAUAGCGAUAUUUAGAAGGAGAAAUUACGGAGUACAGAAGGCACAGAUAAAGCGGUAGCAAGUUCAAACACAAUAAUACAAAAUAGACAAAAGCAAUAAAUCGUAACGAAGCAAAAGAGUACGCGUAAGUCGAGGAGUGACACAGUCUUAGCGUAGCGUUGAUCAAACCCGACUGGCCGCGAGCGGCGGCCGAGUCGUGGCGCAGGCGACGACCAGUACGUACGCAGUUAUACAUAGUCGGGGUCUUUGCCGCAUACUAGCGGUUGCGCCCGACUAUGCUUGUGUAAAUAAUAUAAUUUUGAGUAGUGUUGUGAAUGUAUGAUUGUUUAGCGUAUUUGUGUACUGUAUGAGAGUGUGUUAUAGAAUACGUAAUUAAAUAUGAUAUAAUAUUAAAUAUUGAGUAGGUGUGCAAUGUAAAUUAAUAAAUAAUAUGAACUAAUAAUAAA